GAGUUGAUCCUGGCUCAGGAUGAACGCUAGCGACAGGCUUAACACAUGCAAGGUCGAGGGGGCAGCAAUAAAAGUAGCAAUACUUGGUGGCGACCGGCGCACGGGUGAGUAACGCGUAUGCAACCUACCUAUCAGAGGGAAUAACCCGGCGAAAGUCGGACUAAUACCGCAUAAAACAGGGGCACCGCAUGGUGAUAUUUGUUAAAGAAAUUCGCUGAUAGAUGGGCAUGUGUUCCAUUAGGUAGUUGGUGAGGUAACGGCUCACCAAGCCGACGAUGGAUAGGGGAACUGAGAGGUUGGUCCCCCACACUGGUACUGAGACACGGACCAGACUCCUACGGGAGGCAGCAGUGAGGAAUAUUGGUCAAUGGGCGGGAGCCUGAACCAGCCAAGUCGCCGUGAAGGAAGAAGGAUCUAUGGUUCGUAAACUUCUUUUGCGGGGAAUAAAGUGCAGGACGUGUCCUGUUUUGUAUGUACCCUGAGAAUAAGGAUCGGCUAACUCCGUGCCAGCCGCCGC
rnacentral:rRNA from 1 species